rnacentral:lncRNA from 1 species
ACGGAGAGAGUUGUAGCGUGCGCUCGUCUCUGAUGCCUUGGUCCUUUGUACUCCAUCGAAGUCGUUACGUUGAUAAACCGAACGGUUCAUUUCCCACGUUCUUCACAUGUUAGGACCAAAUCUUCAUCCAUCAUCACGCCUUUCCAUGUUUGCAUGCUUUGGCCCAUGUAAAUGAGCAUGCUGCGAUCUUCUUCGUCUUCUUGUUUGCCCGAAGCCUCAUCACGUGACUCACACAGCCACGAACUCUGCAUGCUUUUCUUGGUCGAACUCAUCCUCUCGAUAUUAAGUCGAAAAGUAGGUCGAGCCUCUCUCUCCUUGUCGAGCUCUCCCCCCGCAUUGAUCGUUU